rnacentral:rRNA from 1 species
GACGAACGCUGGCGGCGUGCCUAAUACAUGCAAGUCGAGCGGACCAAACAGGAGCUUGCUCUUGUUUGGUUAGCGGCGGACGGGUGAGUAACACGUGGGUAACCUGCCCGUAAGACCGGGAUAACUCCGGGAAACCGGAGCUAAUACCGGAUAACACCGAAGACCGCAUGGUCUUUGGUUGAAAGGCGGCUUCGGCUGCCACUUACGGAUGGGCCCGCGGCGCAUUAGCUAGUUGGUGAGGUAACGGCUCACCAAGGCGACGAUGCGUAGCCGGCCUGAGAGGGUGACCGGCCACACUGGGACUGAGACACGGCCCAGACUCCUACGGGAGGCAGCAGUAGGGAAUCUUCCGCAAUGGGCGAAAGUCUGACGGAGCGACGCCGCGUGAGCGAAGAAGGUCUUCGGAUCGUAAAGCUCUGUUGUUAGGGAAGAAGAAGCGCCGUUCGAACAGGGCGGCGCGGUGACGGUACCUAACGAGAAAGCCCCGGCUAACUACGUG